rnacentral:rRNA from 1 species
GAACGCUGGCGGCAGGCCUAACACAUGCAAGUCGAGCGGUAACAGAAAGAAAGCUUGCUUUCUUUGCUGACGAGCGGCGGACGGGUGAGUAAUGCCUGGGAAUAUGCCUUAGUGUGGGGGAUAACUAUUGGAAACGAUAGCUAAUACCGCAUAACGUCUUCGGACCAAAGAGGGGGACCUUCGGGCCUCUCGCGCUAAGAUUAGCCCAGGUGGGAUUAGCUAGUUGGUGAGGUAAAGGCUCACCAAGGCAACGAACCCUAGCUGGUCUGAGAGGAUGAUCAGCCACACUGGAACUGAGACACGGUCCAGACUCCUACGGGAGGCAGCAGUGGGGAAUAUUGCACAAUGGGGGAAACCCUGAUGCAGCCAUGCCGCGUGUAUGAAGAAGGCCUUCGGGUUGUAAAGUACUUUCAGUCGUGAGGAAGGCAUUGUAGUUAAUAGCUGCAGUGCUUGACGUUAGCGACAGAAGAAGCACCUGCUAACUCCGUG